UUGUAAUUUGAGUCGAGUUUCGCUCUCAGUGGCCGUCUUUCGUGUUUACUGGUUGAAAAAGUCGAGUGUUGUUCGGAGAUGUAGGUCUUAUUCCAUCGGAUUUCUAGGCCUUCGACUACUAAAAUUGGUGGAUUGAAGUGUCUUGGCCGUUUUUCGCGUUUACUGGAUACUGGUCGAAAAAGUCUACUCUGUUGUUCGGAAAAGUAGGACUUAUUCCAUCGGAUUUCUAGGCCUUCGACUACUAAAAUUGGUGGAUUGAAGUGUCUUGGCCGUUUUUCGCGUUUACUGGAUACUGGUCGAGAAAGUCUACUGUUGUUCGGAAAAGUAGGACUUAUUCCAUCGGAUUUCUAGUCCUUCGACUAGAUACUAAAAUUAGCAAAUUGAAGACGUGUAAAAUCAACUGAUUCAAAUCGUAUUUCAGUCUUCUUUCGGUGCGAAUUCAAGACUUCGUAUUUCGUAAUAAUUUGAGACUUCGUGCUUCGUGGAGAUGAAUUUUUCAAUCCGUAUUUCAUAACAAUUUGAGACUUCGUGCUUCAUGGAGAUGAAUUCUUGAACCCGUAUUUCAUAACAAUUUGAGAUUUCGUGCUUCCUGGAGAUGAAACUUUCAAUCUGGAUAGUUCAUCCUUGCUGAUUCAGCUACGAAUAGUUAAGCUGAUUGCUUUGCCUACCAAAGAUGACAACUAACUUUCAUUCAUCGAUCGAUCUUGAUGAGACCUGGAAAGAGCAUUUGAUUUGAAACCGUACCAGACGAAGAAAUCGAGAAAGAAAAAUUACUUACUCCGUAAUUUCGAAAACGGAAGUUCUAUUAUCUGAGUUGCACGAAAUUCGAAAAAAAGACGAUUAAAUCUAUCACACGAACGGAGAAGAUGAUACCUGGUUUGUAAAGUUGGUCCAUGUGUUUCGAAGAAAGGAUUUUUUGCUGAGUUCUGUGACUGAAGAGUGUCUCCGGAGGUGUAUCCAGACUUAGUUCGACGAUGGUGGCAGUUAAACUAUACAUUAUGGUGAUGCAUCAGACGCGGUAGGAUUUUUAUAGCUGUUGCUGUUACUAAGUUAUUAAAUAUUAUAUGAAGAA